rnacentral:rRNA from 2 species
GAAUAUGCCUUUCGGUUCGGAACAACUCGGGGAAACCCGUGCUAAUUCCGGAUACGCCCUUACGGGGAAAGAUUUAUCGCCGAAAGAUUAGCCCGCGUCCGAUUAGCUAGUUGGUGAGGUAAAGGCUCACCAAGGCACCGAUCGGUAGCUGGUUUGAGAGAACGACCAGCCACACUGGGACUGAGACACGGCCCAGACUCCUACGGGAGGCAGCAGUGGGGAAUCUUGGACAAUGGGCGCAAGCCUGAUCCAGCCAUGCCGCGUGAGUGAUGAAGGCCUUCGGGUUGUAAAACUCUUUUGGCGGGGACGAUAAUGACGGUACCCGCAGAAUAAGCUCCGGCUAACUUCGUGCCAGCAGCCGCGGUAAUACGAAGGGGGCUAGCGUUGUUCGGAAUUACUGGGCGUAAAGCGUGCGCAGGCGGCUUCUCAAGUCAGGGGUGAAAGCCCAGAGCUCAACUCUGGAAUUGCCUUUGAGACUGAGUGGCUUGAGUACGAGAGAGGUGAGUGGAAUUCCCAGUGUAGAGGUGAAAUUCGUAGAUAUUGGGAAGAACACCGGUGGCGAAGGCGGCUCACUGGCUCGUAACUGACGCUCAUGCA